rnacentral:rRNA from 1 species
GACGAACGCUGGCGGCGUGCUUAACACAUGCAAGUCGAACGAUGAAGCCGGAGCUUGCUCCGGUGGAUUAGUGGCGAACGGGUGAGUAACACGUGAGCAAUCUGCCCUUGACUCUGGGAUAACUGCGGGAAACUGUAGCUAAUACCGGAUACGACACCUUGGGGCAUCCCAGGGUGUGGAAAGAAUUUCGGUCAAGGAUGAGCUCGCGGCCUAUCAGCUAGUUGGUGAGGUAAUGGCUCACCAAGGCGACGACGGGUAGCCGGCCUGAGAGGGUGACCGGCCACACUGGAGCUGAGACACGGUCCAGACUCCUACGGGAGGCAGCAGUGGGGAAUAUUGCACAAUGGGCGCAAGCCUGAUGCAGCAACGCCGCGUGAGGGAUGACGGCCUUCGGGUUGUAAACCUCUUUUAGUAGGGAAGAAGCGAAAGUGACGGUACCUGCAGAAAAAGCACCGGCUAACUACGUGCCAGCAGCCGCAGUAA